UACGAAGGGGGCUAGCGUUGUUCGGAAUUACUGGGCGUAAAGCGCACGUAGGCGGAUAUUUAAGUCAGGGGUGAAAUCCCAGAGCUCAACUCUGGAACUGCCUUUGAUACUGGGUAUCUUGAGUAUGGAAGAGGUAAGUGGAAUUGCGAGUGUAGAGGUGAAAUUCGUAGAUAUUCGCAGGAACACCGGUGGCGAAGGCGGCGAGCUGGUCCAUUACUGACGCUGAGGCGCGACAGCGUGGGGAGCAAACAGG
rnacentral:rRNA from 1 species